ACCUUUUGUAUAAUGGGUCAGCGACUUAUAUUCUGUAGCAAGGUUAACCGAAUAGGGGAGCCGAAGGGAAACCGAGUCUUAACUGGGCGUUAAGUUGCAGGGUAUAGACCCGAAACCCGGUGAUCUAGCCAUGGGCAGGUUGAAGGUUGGGUAACACUAACUGGAGGACCGAACCGACUAAUGUUGAAAAAUUAGCGGAUGACUUGUGGCUGGGGGUGAAAGGCCAAUCAAACCGGGAGAUAGCUGGUUCUCCCCGAAAGCUAUUUAGGUAGCGCCUCGUGAAUUCAUCUCCGGGGGUAGAGCACUGUUUCGGCAAGGGGGUCAUCCCGACUUACCAACCCGAUGCAAACUGCGAAUACCGGAGAAUGUUAUCACGGGAGACACACGGCGGGUGCUAACGUCCGUCGUGAAGAGGGAAACAACCCAGACCGCCAGCUAAGGUCCCAAAGUCAUGGUUAAGUGGGAAACGAUGUGGGAAGGCCCAGACAGCCAGGAUGUUGGCUUAGAAGCAGCCAUCAUUUAAAGAAAGCGUAAUAGCUCACUGGUCGAGUCGGCCUGCGCGGAAGAUGUAACGGGGCUAAACCAUGCACCGAAGCUGCGGCAGCGACGCUUAUGCGUUGUUGGGUAGGGGAGCGUUCUGUAAGCCUGCGAAGGUGUGCUGUGAGGCAUGCUGGAGGUAUCAGAAGUGCGAAUGCUGACAUAAGUAACGAUAAAGCGGGUGAAAAGCCCGCUCGCCGGAAGACCAAGGGUUCCUGUCCAACGUUAAUCGGGGCAGGGUGAGUCGACCCCUAAGGCGAGGCCGAAAGGCGUAGUCGAUGGGAAACAGGUUAAUAUUCCUGUACUUGGUGUUACUGCGAAGGGGGGACGGAGAAGGCUAUGUUGGCCGGGCGACGGUUGUCCCGGUUUAAGCGUGUAGGCUGGUUUUCCAGGCAAAUCCGGAAAAUCAAGGCUGAGGCGUGAUGACGAGGCACUACGGUGCUGAAGCAACAAAUGCCCUGCUUCCAGGAAAAGCCUCUAAGCAUCAGGUAACAUCAAAUCGUACCCCAAACCGACACAGGUGGUCAGGUAGAGAAUACCAAGGCGCUUGAGAGAACUCGGGUGAAGGAACUAGGCAAAAUGGUGCCGUAACUUCGGGAGAAGGCACGCUGAUAUGUAGGUGAAGUCCCUCGCGGAUGGAGCUGAAAUCAGUCGAAGAUACCAGCUGGCUGCAACUGUUUAUUAAAAACACAGCACUGUGCAAACACGAAAGUGGACGUAUACGGUGUGACGCCUGCCCGGUGCCGGAAGGUUAAUUGAUGGGGUUAGCGCAAGCGAAGCUCUUGAUCGAAGCCCCGGUAAACGGCGGCCGUAACUAUAACGGUCCUAAGGUAGCGAAAUUCCUUGUCGGGUAAGUUCCGACCUGCACGAAUGGCGUAAUGAUGGCCAGGCUGUCUCCACCCGAGACUCAGUGAAAUUGAACUCGCUGUGAAGAUGCAGUGUACCCGCGGCAAGACGGAAAGACCCCGUGAACCUUUACUAUAGCUUGACACUGAACAUUGAGCCUUGAUGUGUAGGAUAGGUGGGAGGCUUUGAAGUGUGGACGCCAGUCUGCAUGGAGCCGACCUUGAAAUACCACCCUUUAAUGUUUGAUGUUCUAACGUUGACCCGUAAUCCGGGUUGCGGACAGUGUCUGGUGGGUAGUUUGACUGGGGCGGUCUCCUCCUAAAGAGUAACGGAGGAGCACGAAGGUUGGCUAAUCCUGGUCGGACAUCAGGAGGUUAGUGCAAUGGCAUAAGCCAGCUUGACUGCGAGCGUGACGGCGCGAGCAGGUGCGAAAGCAGGUCAUAGUGAUCCGGUGGUUCUGAAUGGAAGGGCCAUCGCUCAACGGAUAAAAGGUACUCCGGGGAUAACAGGCUGAUACCGCCCAAGAGUUCAUAUCGACGGCGGUGUUUGGCACCUCGAUGUCGGCUCAUCACAUCCUGGGGCUGAAGUAGGUCCCAAGGGUAUGGCUGUUCGCCAUUUAAAGUGGUACGCGAGCUGGGUUUAGAACGUCGUGAGACAGUUCGGUCCCUAUCUGCCGUGGGCGCUGGAGAACUGAGGGGGGCUGCUCCUAGUACGAGAGGACCGGAGUGGACGCAUCACUGGUGUUCGGGUUGUCAUGCCAAUGGCACUGCCCGGUAGCUAAAUGCGGAAGAGAUAAGUGCUGAAAGCAUCUAAGCACGAAACUUGCCCCGAGAUGAGUUCUCCCUGACUCCUUGAGAGUCCUGAAGGAACGUUGAAG
rnacentral:rRNA from 1 species